UGGAUCGCCCUUAGAGUUUGAUCCUGGCUCAGGACGAACGCUGGCGGCGUGCCUAACACAUGCAAGUCGAGCGGAGUUACAUGAGGAGUAAUCUGAGUGUAACUGAGCGGCGGACGGGUGAGUAACGCGUGAGCAACCUGCCUUCCACAGGGGGAUAACGUACCGAAAGGUACACUAAUACCGCAUGAGACCACGGUACCGAUGGUAGUGGGGUCAAAGGAGCAAUCCGGUGGGAGAUGGGCUCGCGUCCGAUUAGGUAGUUGGCGGGGUAACGGCCCACCAAGCCUGUGAUCGGUAGCCGGCCUGAGAGGGUGAACGGCCACAUUGGAACUGAGAGACGGUCCAAACUCCUACGGGAGGCAGCAGUGGGGAAUAUUGGGCAAUGGGGGGAACCCUGACCCAGCAACGCUGCGUGAGGGAAGAAGGUUUUCGGAUUGUAAACCUCUGUUCUUGGAGAAGAGUGGAAGACGGUAUCCAAGGAGGAAGCCCCGGCUAACUACGUGCCAGCAGCCGCGGUAAUACGUAGGGGGCGAGCGUUGUCCGGAAUGAUUGGGCGUAAAGGGCGCGCAGGCGGCCAUUCAAGUCAGUAGUGGAAGUCCAUUUUUCAAGGGUGGAAGUGCUAUUGAAACUGUAUGGCUUGAGUGCGGGGAGAGGUUAUCGGAAUUCCCGGUGUAGCGGUGAAAUGCGUAGAGAUCGGGAGGAACACCAGUGGCGAAGGCGGGUAACUGGACCGCACUGACGCUGAGGCGCGAAAGUGUGGGGAGCAAACAGGAUAGAUACCCUGGUAGUCCACACGGUAAACGAUGAAUGCUACGUGUAGGGGUAUCGACCCCUUCUGUGCCGCAGUUAAACACAGUAGGCUUCCGCCUGGGGAGUACGGUCGGCAGAUUA
rnacentral:rRNA from 1 species